UCCGUAGGUGGCAAUCGUUAUCCGGAAUUAUUGGGCGUAAAGCGCGCGCAGGUGGUUUCUUAAGUCUGAUGUGAAAGCCCACGGCUCAACCGUGGAGGGUCAUUGGAAACUGGGAGACUUGAGUGCAGAAGAGGAAAGUGGAAUUCCAUGUGUAGCGGUGAAAUGCGUAGAGAUAUGGAGGAACACCAGUGGCGAAGGCGACUUUCUGGUCUGUAACUGACACUGAGGCGCGAAAGCGUGGGGAGAAAACAGG
rnacentral:rRNA from 1 species